rnacentral:rRNA from 1 species
UACGGAGGGUGCAAGCGUUAUCCGGAUUCACUGGGUUUAAAGGGUGCGUAGGCGGGUAGGUAAGUCAGUGGUGAAAUCUCGAAGCUUAACUUCGAAACUGCCAUUGAUACUAUCUAUCUUGAAUAUUGUGGAGGUUUGCGGAAUAUGUCAUGUAGCGGUGAAAUGCUUAGAUAUGACAUAGAACACCUAUUGCGAAGGCAGCAGGCUACACAUAUAUUGACGCUGAGGCACGAAAGCGUGGGGAUCAAACAGG